UGCGUAGGUGGCGGGGUAAGUCAGGUGUGAAAUCUCGAGGCUCAACCUCGAAACUGCACUUGAUACUGCCUUGCUCGAGUACUGGAGAGGAGAUUGGAAUUUACGGUGUAGCAGUGAAACGCGUAGAUAUCGUAAGGAAGACCAGUGGCGAAGGCGAAUCUCUGGACAGUUACUGACACUGAGGCACGAAGGCCAGGGGAGCAAACG
rnacentral:rRNA from 1 species